CUCUCUCUAAAUAAAAUAGACUUUCUUAAACUUUCUUAACUUGUCUGACUGUGCUCAUUCCUUUACUGGCUGACCUAUCAUUUGGUCCCGAAACUCGGGAGGGUUUAGGCCAGGGAAAGCAGGAUCGCCCUUCUCUCUCGCUUCUCUCUGUCCCCGGGCUUGAUCCGCUCUCUGGCUACCCUCCUGGACCUGCCGGACCUGCUGGACCUGCCAUAAGGACGCGCUUUGGGACUUUCUCCCUUCGGUUGCUGACAUCCCAGACAACAUCAGGCCAGACUCUCACACCGGAUUAAACUCCCUCCUUUGACCCAGAUGAUGUUUGGGCCCCUCUUCCUCUGCCCUACUAUCCCUUCAGCCUAAACCUUCUCCACCGAGCCUCUGCUCCUCAUUUCAGGAAGAUUUGGUUCUCCUUUGGUCCCUGCCUCCUCUGCCUUUUCAUCCAAUUCCAGCAGAGCCGACUCCAGACCUUCACAAAUGGAGCUGUCCAUAUAAUGCUUCUCCUACAACAUUACCAGCCCUUUCCACAAUGUCCCCCUCCUCUUACUGUCUCUGUUCAGCCUGAAGCAGCUACAGAAGAGAGAGGUAAGGGCCCCUCUCCUUUUUAAUAACCAACAAGGCUGGAUGUUAGGUCUCUGAAUGUU